rnacentral:rRNA from 1 species
AGAGUUUGAUCAUGGCUCAGGAUGAACGCUAGCGGGAGGCUUAACACAUGCAAGUCGAGGGGCAGCACGAGGUAGCAAUACUUUGGUGGCGACCGGCGCACGGGUGAGUAACGCGUAUGUAACCUACCCUGUACAGGGGGAUAGCCCGGAGAAAUUCGGAUUAAUACUCCAUAAUGAUAUUUAGAGGCAUCUUUGAAUAUUUAAAGUUUUAACGGUACAGGAUGGGCAUGCGUAACAUUAGCUAGUUGGUAGGGUAAUGGCCUACCAAGGCGACGAUGUUUAGGGGUCCUGAGAGGGUGAUCCCCCACACUGGUACUGAGACACGGACCAGACUCCUACGGGAGGCAGCAGUGAGGAAUAUUGGUCAAUGGGCGUAAGCCUGAACCAGCCAUCCCGCGUGCAGGAAGACGGCGCUAUGCGUUGUAAACUGCUUUUCCAGGGGAAGAAAACCCGCUACGUGUAGUGGCUUGCCGGUACCCUGGGAAUAAGCAUCGGCUAACUCCGUGCCAGCAGCCGCGGUAAUACGGAGGAUGCGAGCGUUAUCCGGAUUUAUUGGGUUUAAAGGGUGCGUAGGCGGGAUUAAUAAGUCAGUGGUGAAAACCUGCAGCUUAACUGUAGACUUGCCAUUGAUACUGUUAGUCUUGAGUGUGGUCAAGGUAGGCGGAAUGUAAUGUAGCGGUGAAAUGCUUAGAUAUUACACAGAACACCGAUUGCGAAGGCAGCUUACUGGGCCAUUACUGACGCUGAUGCACGAAAGCGUGGGGAGCGAACAGGAUUAGAUACCCUAGUAGUCC